CUCUUUGACCAUAUGAGCAAUAGUUCUUAUAUUCUCUAGACCUCCCUCUAAUGGGGUACCAUUAACCAUCCAAUAUUCCUUUGUUGGUAUGAGCAGUUGGGUUUUCAUCUUUACGCACUUUCUUCUUGCUUCUCUUCAAAUGGUCUUGUUCCUCUUGAGAAGGCCGACAGUCAUGUAGAUCCCCUCUCGGGUGCCCAGCGCCAUCCAUGGUAGCUGAAGGUUGCAAAUGGCGGUCUAUAGCACAUAAAAUUUCUAAGGUUAAAGAGGCUAUUUCAAUAGCAAAUAAUGCAUGCUGGUCUAUUGGAGAACUUGCAGUUAAGAUUCCUAUAACUUGGCAUUGGAGUCUCAGCUCAAAUAUUCUACAGAUUUUGUUAUCUUAUA